AGAGCCGCUGCAUGCCGCACACGCACAACCACUGUCGCCGCCAGAUCCUUGCAAUAGGGGGAAAGGCUGAAAAGUGAGCGGAAGAUGGAGACUACCUGAUCCACCGCCGAAGCCCUCAAUCUUCGCUAAUGAACUCGAUGGGCGCUGUCCAGCGGAAGACGGAGAUCCUCGACUCGUGGCUCCCGACGGCUCGUCUGCUGAAGCAACAGCGAGGCGGGCUCAAAAUUAUGGAUGCAGGCGUCACGGCGCGCAUACUGGCCGGAAGAGCGUCCGUGCAGUUGCCGCUCUAUCCUUUCUCGCAUCCGUUCGGGUCGCUGCGGUCGGGCAGCCGCCGAUUCGUUCCAUCUCGCAAUCACCUGAGCCGUCACGGCCACCGCUCCGGUUUCGCGGUCUAUCCUCUCAGCCGUCGCUACAGAGCCGUCUCUCGAUCUCGCUGGUUCAUGGCGACUUGUAACCUUGAGAAUCGCUGGAAAUCGAAGGGAUUAAUUUAGAUUUAGGAAUCCAAUAACUCCCCAACGUUCGGAUUUUGAGCAUUUCGUCCCGAACAUUUUUACAUGACAACUUUAGUUCAUAGGGAUGGCAACUUUAGUUGAUAGGGGAUGACAACUUUG